GACGAACGCUGGCGGCGUGCUUAACACAUGCAAGUCGAACGGUAAGGCCCUUCGGGGUACACGAGUGGCGAACGGGUGAGUAACACGUGGGUGAUCUGCCCUGCACUUCGGGAUAAGCCUGGGAAACUGGGUCUAAUACCGGAUAGGACCACUGCCUGCAUGGGCGGUGGUGGGAAGCUUUUGCGGUGUGGGAUGGGCCCGCGGCCUAUCAGCUUGUUGGUGGGGUGAUGGCCUACCAAGGCGACGACGGGUAGCCGGCCUGAGAGGGUGACCGGCCACGCUGGGACUGAGAUACGGCCCAGACUCCUACGGGAGGCAGAAGUGGGGAAUAUUGCACAAUGGGCGCAAGCCUGAUGCAGCGACGCCGCGUGAGGGAUGACGGCCUUCGGGUUGUAAACCUCUUUCAGCACCGACGAAGCGCAAGUGACGGUAGGUGCAGAAGAAGGACCGGCCAACUACGUACCAGCCGCCGCCGUAA
rnacentral:rRNA from 1 species